ACCAAGGGCUGCAGCUUGUCCUGCAGUCCUAACAGAGAUCAGGCUGUUACACGAGGAAAUCUGCUGUUGCCUUCUACUUGAGGACUUCAUAUAAGGUUCAGCGCCUUAUCUCAGAUGCCAAGGUCUCCAGAGGACAACCAGAGGAACCUGAAUGAAAAGCACAGGGCUCGUGAUGGGCUGUGAUCCAUGCCUGGCUCCUGCGCUAUGCACCAGCCGAAUGCUGAAGGUCAGGCGGUGCGGGCAGCCCUGGGCCUCCUGCUGCUCUGACCCUUCCUGUUGCCAUGCUCCAAGCAGAGCGCUGCCUGACCGUGAGCAGAGGGCCCUGCCUCAGCUGUGGCGUUUUGUUUUCCUUUGCUC
rnacentral:lncRNA from 1 species